rnacentral:misc_RNA from 1 species
AAGUCGUAACAAGGUUUCCGUAGGUGAACCUGCGGAAGGAUCAUUACAUUCAGUAGCCUAGCUACUUGUUUACACCCUUGUUUUUUUUGCGCACUUCACUGUAUCCCUCGGCGGGCUUGCUCGCCGGUUGGACAACAUUUAUAACCUUUUUUAAUCUUCAAUCAGCGUCUGAAUUAUAUUUAAUAAUUACAACUUUCAACAACGGAUCUCUUGGUUCUG